rnacentral:rRNA from 1 species
GUGUAUGACCAUACCACCCUUAACUCACCUUAUCUCAUCUGAUCUCAGAAGCUAAGCAGGGUUGGGCCUGUUUAGUACUUGGAUGGGGAAAAGUAGAUCAGAGUGAGUGGCAGGAUUUAAAAUUA